rnacentral:rRNA from 1 species
GACGAACGCUGGCGGCGUGCCUAAUACAUGCAAGUCGAACGAACCGCGACUAGGUGCUUGCACUUGGUCAAGGUGAGUGGCGAACGGGUGAGUAACACGUGGGUAACCUACCUCAUAGUGGGGGAUAACAGUCGGAAACGACUGCUAAUACCGCAUAGGACAUAGGAUCACAUGAUCCAGUGAGGAAAGGUGGCGCAAGCUAUCGCUAAGAGAUGGACCCGCGGUGCAUUAGCUAGUUGGUAGGGUAAAGGCCUACCAAGGCGAUGAUGCAUAGCCGACCGGAGAGGGUGAUCGGCCACAUUGGGACUGAGACACGGCCCAAACUCCUACGGGAGGCAGCAGUAGGGAAUCUUCCGCAAUGGACGCAAGUCUGACGGAGCAACGCCGCGUGAGUGAAGAAGGUCUUCGGAUCGUAAAGCUCUGUUGUUAGAGAAGAACAGCGCAUAGAGUAACUGUUAUGCGUGUGACGGUAUCUAACCAGAAAGCCACGGCUAACUACGUG